UAGGGAAUAUUGGGCAAUGGGCAAAAGCCUGACCCAGCAACGCCGCGUGCACGAUGAAGGCCUUCGGGUUGUAAAGUGCUUUUUGGGGAGAUGAGGAAGGACAGUAUCCCCAGAAUAAGGAUCGGCUAACUACGUGCCAGCAGCCGCGGUAACACGUAGGAUUCGAGCGUUAUCCGAAUUUACUGGGCGUAAAGCGUGUGCAGGCGGUUUGGUAAGUUGGAUGUGAAAGCUCCUGGCUCAACUGGGAGAGGCCGUUCAAAACUACCAGACUAGAGGACAGUAGAGGGAGAUGGAAUUCCCGGUGUAGUAGUGAAAUGCGUAGAUAUCGGGAGGAACACCAGUGGCGAAGGCGGUCUCCUGGACUGUUUCUGACGCUUAGACACGAAAGCUAGGGUAGCGAAUGGGAUUAGAAACCCCAGUAGUCCUAGCCGUAAACGAUGUAGACUGGGUGUCGGUGGGGUAAAAGCCAUCGGUACCGAAGCUAACGCGAUAAGUCUACCGCCUGGGGACUACGGCCGCAAGGUUA
rnacentral:rRNA from 1 species